CUCCAUGCUGGAACCGCUCCCACACCUCCCACUAUCGUGAACUCGGUUGCUCGGCCUGCCCCCACCUCGCGCAGCCGCCGGUGUCGUUGCGCUUGCACGAGUGCCGCCUGCACCCGCCUCGGCCCGCCCGCACGGGUGCCGUCCGCUCGCCUCCAUCCCCGUCUCCGUCGGUGCCGCCGCGGUGGAGGACGAGAAGGUGAGGGGCGGCGCCGUGCUCUACCGCACAUACGCGUUGUCAUCCGUCCACGCAGUUGCCGGGGACUACCACCCCCGGAGAUGGCGUCUACUCCCUGGGCAUGCUCCUGCUAGAGCUCCUCACUGGCAAGUCCCCGACACACGCAUCCCUUUAGGAGGGCGACGGCGACAUGUCCAACAUCUGCAGAAGGGCGGCGGCGAAGAGAAAAGGGAGCAGAGGAAUGAGAUGGGAGGCCGUAGGGAGAGGUGAGGUGUGGUGUGAUCCUGCUGCUGCUGCUCGUCGGCCAACGACUAGGUGGGCUUCGGGUGCACGGAGGUGUGAGUGGUAACUUCGGUCGCCCAAUUAAUACCUGAAUCGCCAGGUGAAACAGAGCAUGUCUGAACCUGGUCUACUCUUUUUUCUUGAUUUGCUGAAAGCUGAUAUCCAAUCUUCUCUCAUCUUGUUUUUGACCGAACUGAACUAGCACUGCAUUGUAUCACUAGGCAAUCCUACUCCAAACUGUACGUUGUCUGAUGGGUUGACAGAACGACAGAGGAUUCUCACACUUUGCAUGUGGUUACUUAUCUAAACACUCUUUGCAUGUGGGCUUCGGGUGCACGCGGGUGUCAGGGAUCGAGGAUUCGAGGGAGCUCUCCUCUCUCGCGACUGGAGGAGUUCGGGGGUCAAGCGGAAGAGGAUAACGUGGUCAAGCUCGGGAGCUGAUGCACUAGAGGACUCCAUGGUUUUUCCCUGGAGGCUGGCACAUUUAGCUGCUGCCCUUUGCUGUCGACCUUCUCUUCUUCAAGCCCCACCGCUACCAUUGUCGUACUCCCUGCAGGCAGGCCUGCCCCGAUCUCCUCCGCAAGCUAAGGUUUCAGACAAUAUGGACAGUACGCUUUAGAAGCAUCAGAAGUAUCUUUUUUUUGGGGGGGGG